UACGUAGGGUGCGAGCGUUGUCCGGAAUUAUUGGGCGUAAAGGGCUCGUAGGCGGUUUGUCGCGUCGGGAGUGAAAACCUUGGGCUUAACUCAGGGCUUGCUUUCGAUACGGGCAGACUAGAGGUAUGCAGGGGAGAACGGAAUUCCUGGUGUAGCGGUGAAAUGCGCAGAUAUCAGGAGGAACACCGGUGGCGAAGGCGGUUCUCUGGGCCAACACUGACGCUGAUGUGCGAAAGCUAGGGGAGCAAACGGG
rnacentral:rRNA from 1 species